UACGUAGGGGGCUAGCGUUGUCCGGAAUCAUUGGGCGUAAAGCGCGUGUAGGCGGUCCGGUAAGUCCGCUGUGAAAGUCGAGGGCUCAACCCUCGAAUGCCGGUGGAUACUGUCGGGCUUGAGUACGGGAGAGGCGAGUGGAAUUCCUGGUGUAGCGGUGAAAUGCGCAGAUAUCAGGAGGAACACCAAUGGCGAAGGCAGCACUCUGGGACGUGACUGACGCUGAGACGCGAAAGCGUGGGGAGCAAACAGG
rnacentral:rRNA from 1 species